GUCCAAGGAGUUUAUCGUGUACGCAAGUCAUUGGGUGAAUAAAACCCAAAGGCGAAAUGAAAGUAAAGAGUUGAGUUUAUAAUUGAGAAUUUAUUCUCUAUUAUUUCUCUCUUUAGGGAAGAUGAAAAUUUAAUUUAUAAUCUAUUUUAGUUUAUUUAUUUAAAUUUUUCGCAUUCCUAGGGCGCUUGUGUUCACGCUUUGCGUGUCGAUGCGCACCCAGAGCGUACACGCUGAUACCCGAAAGAUGGUGAACUAUGCCUGGCCAGGACGAAGCCAGGGGAAACCCUGGUGGAGGUCCGCAGCGAUUCUGACGUGCAAAUCGAUCGUCGGAGCUGGGUAUAGGGGCGAAAGACCAAUCGAACCAUCUAGUAGCUGGUUCCCUCUGAAGUUUCCCUCAGGAUAGCUUGCGCUCGUCUUAUGAGUCUCAUCCGGUAGAGCGAAUGAUUAGAGGCAUUGGGGUCGAAACGACCUCAACCUAUUCUCAAACUCCAAAUAGAUGAGACCCCCGGCUUUCUUAAAAUUGAAGCCGUGGGAUUAGGAUCAGAGUGCCAAGUGGGCCAAUUUUGGUAA
rnacentral:rRNA from 1 species